rnacentral:rRNA from 1 species
UACGGGGGGGGCAAGCGUUGUUCGGAAUUACUGGGCGUAAAGGGCUCGUAGGUGGCCAACUAAGUCAGACGUGAAAUCCCUCAGCUUAACUGGGGAACUGCGUCUGAUACUGGAUGGCUUGAGUUUGGGAGAGGGAUGCGGAAUUCCAGGUGUAGCGGUGAAAUGCGUAGAUAUCUGGAGGAACACCGAUUGCGAAGGCAGCUCGCUGGAACGUUACUGACGCUGAGACGCGAAAGCGUGGGGAGCAAACA